ensembl:snoRNA
GUAGCACCUAAAUCCCAAACCCAAGAAUUGCUGUUUCUUGUAGCAGUUGUUUAAACAGGGGUGCUAACAGCAAACCCCCUUGGGGAGCUGAGGUCAUGCCCCUCAAAGUGAAUUUGGAGGUCA